CCUACGGGGCGCAGCAGUGGGGGAUAUUGCACAAUGGGGGGAACCCUGAUGCAGCGACGCCGCGUGGGCGAUGGAGUGCUUCGGCAUGUAAAGCCCUAUCAGCAGGGAAGAAAAUGACGGUACCUGACUAAGAAGCCCCGGCUAAAUACGUGCCAGCAGCCGCGGUAAUACGUAGGUGGCAAGCGUUGUUCGGAAUAACUGGGCGUAAAGGAUGCGUAGGCGGUUAAACAAGUUAUAUGUUAAAUAUAUAGGCUUAACCUGUAGAAAGCAUAUAAAACUGUUUAACUAGAGUGCAGGAGAGGUAA
rnacentral:rRNA from 1 species